AGGUCUCUGGGUCUCUCUGCAACUCUCUCUUCCCCACUAUUCAUCUCCAGCUCCAGCUGCUGUGGUCUCUCGGACCCUCAGCUCCAUUUCCUCAGCUCAGAAAGUCCUCUGGGCUCCACCUCACUUCUCCCUCCUUGCUCUGCCACUGGGAACUCUUUUGAGAGAGUAAGCUGGCCAAUCUUAGAAGGGCAAACCUUGCAUGUUUCCUUUCUCUCUGGGAUUUCAUUGCCUUCGUUAUUGUUUGUCAUUGUCUGAUGCACAGUUUGUAACACUGUUGUCUUCCUGUAUUUUGUCUGUCUUUGCUAUGUCUUUGUAAUGGUGAUGGCGGUUGUUUCCCGUGGGGGCCCUGUUCCUCCAUCUUGCCAGAAGUGGGAGUCCUCCAGCAGUGGUUGAAAAGCUCCUCAGGUGAUUCCAACAAGCAGCCAAGGUUUGUGCAGGAUGGAGAAUCAGAAUCCAGGUGUCCUGGCCUCAGGCUCCUCCCACUCUACUAUGCAAGAAUUUCUGAAAAAAGGAAUCAGGAUGUUACUCAAGGAAUGAGGAAAUUUUGAUUUGCAGCUCAUAGUCCAUUGUUGGCUGACUUCAUUGCUCUGGGAUGGAAGUGAGGCAGAUCAUGAUGGAAGUUGUGAAGGAGGAAAUCAGCUCAGGAUAUGGAAACAAGGAAGCAGGGAGCCUUCAUGCUGAUAUCCAAUGGACAGGAUGCAGCAGAAGUGACACGGCAUGACUUCUGAGACUAAUUAAAAUUUUAAAAAAAGGAUAGAGCUGCAACCUGGUACUCCCACUCCACUCACCCUUGGAACUCAGCCACCAUGUUGUGAGGAAGCCCAAGACAUAUAUAGGUGCCUUGGCUAAAGUCCCAGAUAAGGUCCCAAUCAAUAACCAACAUCCACUACCAAACACGUAAAUGGGCAAGUCUUCAGAUGACUCUAGCCCCAGGAUUUGAGCCACCUCAGCUGAUAUCAAGCAAAGCAGAGAUGAGCUACCUGCCUGGAGCCCUGCCCAAAACACAGACUGAGGAAAAGAAAUAUUGCUAUCUUAGGGAAUUAUGUUUUGGGGUGGUUUGUGACAUAGAAAUAGAAAACUGGCACACUUGACUUCAAGGGUUCUCACCAGGUGGGUUAAGGGCAGUAGUCCUGUAUCACAUGUGAGAUCUUCUCAAGGGUUCACACUUAAUUCCAAUGUCCCCCCACCCUGUCUUGCUAGAUUCUUACACCACUUUAGGGUAUGAAUUGGGUAGGCUGGGGAGAAAUAUAACAGCAACAACAGUGGAGUUGCAACAGAAAUUUUGUAGAAGAUUAAAAAAUGCCCUCUCCAUAAUUGAGGUCCACUAGAUCUGCUCAGUCUAAUACAGUGGCCAUCAGACAUAUGUGGUUCUUUUUAUUUAUUUAUUUUUUAGUUUUCAGUGGACACAACAUCUUUGUUUGUAUGUGGUGCUGAGGAUCGAACUCAGGCCACACGCAUGCCAGGCGAGCGCGCUACCGCUUGAGCCACAUCCCAGCCCCCAUAUGUGGUUCUUUAAAUUAAAAUUUAUUAAAAUAA